CAAGCGGCCAAGCUGUGCUUCCCAAACCAGCCACGCAGAGCAAAGGAGCAGCAUGGGAGAAGAGAGUGGGUCAUUGCCUUCCCCAAAGACAGGGUCCAGAAAUUCUGGAAGAUCAAGGUUUCAGUUCUAGUCCUGAUUCUGACACCUACAUGCUGUUUAUCUUGGCAGAGGAUCCUAAACCUCUCCAGGCCUCAGAUUAUCAUCUAUAAAAUGCGACCGUUGGAGCAGAUGUCUGCGAUCUGAUGGCGAUUGUGACUUUUCUCUGAUGUAUCCUGGUGCAUUAGGAAGCAGAAAGAGUGGGAUUUAAGUGGUUGCAACAUGUACUUAAAUCAAAACACACUUAUAAACACCCUAUGGAGAGAACUACGGAUUUCGGGAGCAGACAAGAUGACCCAAGCAGGCAAGCUGACAACCACCACUGGAGCUCAGUACCUGGACAAGGAGGAUGCCACAGGAAGGUCCGGGCCUCUGGCAUUAGUUCUCCAAGUCUCGGUUCCCCAUCUUUGCAAAAGGAGGGUCAUUACACCUGUCCUGGUUACCCCACAGAAUUGUGGCUGGAGCUAGCGAGUACGGGAGCUCCGGAGUCCCGGCCUGAGCGCCACCGCCCAGCAAUUCUGCUUCCAGCUCGGCGGCCUGGUGAUGGGGCUCGGGCCACCUCCCUUCCCUGGUUCCCCGACUCCAUCCAAAGCGCAGCUCAGACAGCUCAGGGAGUACCAGCGAUCUUCCUGUCCUCUCCUGGUUGCCACCCCUGCCCGCCCUGGGUCCCGGUGGGGCUCUGCGCCGGGUAGGAGAGGUGGGGACAUCUCACCGGUCAGCGGCGCCCGGCGACCGUGCGCAGCUCCUGGCGACACCGCGUGGUGAGCACCGUGAGGCGCGCGUAUUUAUAGCGCUCUGUCUCGUCUACACCCCCUUUGGGGCUGGCUGCAAACCUGCAUGACUCACGCCCAAAGAAUGCUGUGGAAUUCACCGGGAGCUUUCUGGAAGCUGGCGCCGGAGGGGAUGCGGAGGCGGGCUCUGCCCUAAGGUGCUGGGUGACCUUGGACAACCACUUUGCCUUCUGGGCCUCAGCCUCUUCCCUGUGGACAACAAAG